rnacentral:tRNA from 1 species
GCAGUCGUGACCGAGUGGUUAAGGCGAUGGACUCGAAAUCCGUUGGGAUUUUUCCCGCGUAGGUUCGAAUCCUACCGUCUGCG